rnacentral:lncRNA from 1 species
GGGGUCCAGCUCUCUCAGCCUGCUGCGCUCGUGGGGUUUCUGGAUCCCUCUAGGAACGGGGAGGAACCGAGGCUCCGUCGGUGCCGAGGAGGGGAGGAACGGCGCGGGAGCAGACAGCCCUGACUGACUGAAGCAAAUGUCGGCGGAAAGCAAGGGCCUCACUGACAUCACUUGCAAAAGCCAGUCAGGACCUGAGGGGAAAUCUCCCAGAUGCCAUGACCUACCGCUGAACCUCAUGGAUACAACUAAUUUAAUUAAGAUGGACAUUUUGGAGUUUUGAAUUUCAUGCAAAUGCUCGCAGCAGCCCUCGCUGUUCAGGGUGAAGAGGGAGCUGGCAUAGAUGUGCCUGUGGCCAGGAAACAACCUGGAAUAAACCAGGGUAGAUUGUGUGAGUCUGAUGACUG